UACGUAGGGUGCGAGCGUUAAUCGGAAUUACUGGGCGUAAAGCGUGCGCAGGCGGAUGUUUAAGUCAGAUGUGAAAUCCCCGGGCUCAACCUGGGAAUGGCAUUUGAAACUGGGCAUCUAGAGUGCGUCAGAGGGGGGUGGAAUUCCACGUGUAGCAGUGAAAUGCGUAGAGAUGUGGAGGAAAACCGAUGGCGAAGGCAGCCCCCUGGGAUGACACUGACGCUCAUGCGCGAAAGCGUGGGGAGCAAACGGGAUUAGAUCCCCUGGUAGUCCACGCCCUAAACUAUGCCAACUAGUUGUUGGGGACGUAAGUUCUUAGUGACGAAGCCAACGCGUGAAGUUGACCGCCUGGGGAGUACGGCCGCAAGGUUG
rnacentral:rRNA from 1 species